GUUUUUCUGAGGGCCUCAUGUCAGUAGCAGAACAGCUUUUGUUCUGAUGGUGUAGAAUGAAGGAGAGUUUUGUGUCACCCUCUCAGCAGAGGCUGGACUGCGGAUGGGAUAGGUGUCUUAUCUCCCGUGAGUUAGCAUCAGAUGAAGCUUGCUGACAGCAUAAUGGCAGGGAAAACCUCCGACGGCUCCAUCAAAUGGCAGCUCUGCUACGACAUCUCGGCCAGAACUUGGUGGAUGUAGAGCAGCCUCACACUUGUCCCACUUGUGUGCUUUCCCCUGUGUAACAGGAGACCGUUAAUGUGCACUACAGUUUCCAGAGGGAAGCUUUUUCAAUUCUCCUUAAGGGGGAAAAGAGGGAAAAAAAAAAAAAAACCUAUGCAAAGAAGUAGUUUUGCAACGCCUUGUGCAGAGAAACUUGUCUCAGUCGGCUGCUUAACGCUCAGUUUGUUUUACUUUAUCUGCUGCUUUCAAGCAUUCGUGUGCGUGUGCGUUUUUUCCCAUGCGGUAUUUUGUAAAGAGGGGAGGUGGAAAGUUCAGUCCGUUACAAAGCAAGUUGCUUUCCUGUCAAAGCCUGGACCGGUGCGGGAGUGUCGUGGUGUAAAAUCAUCACGUGUGAGAGGAGCGUGUUUUGCGAGGUGCUGCCUUUCCUCGGAGACCCUGAGCUAACUUUUUCCCUCCGCCUGUUUACGUUAGAACAGGUUACCGGGCUGUGCUGACCUGGAGCCAUGUGUUACAGAUCCCGCAGAGUCUGGCUCUAGCUGCUUUUGGGCGCAAUUAAAGUUUCCCUAAAAGUCCCAACGUGCUCCGUAGAACGAGUUAACUAGCAUGUCAUGGUCAGCCGGGCCAGACAACCUUUGACAUCUUGAAUCUAUAAGAGGUAUAGUGAGUUAGGAGGAUGCACAAUAGCCCAUUGUGGCAGAAGAUGCAAGUCCUGUUGUGAGGAAGAGAGUCCUCAAAUCAUUACUGCCCUCGUUAGCGUGUUGUCCGUUAGGGAUUAAUUCGUUAGCAGCGCAUUUUUAGUUUUCUGUAAUUAUUAUUCUUGUGGCAAGCGUGAAUUCUUCCAGUGAGAGGAAAAGUUUGCUGCCAGGACAAUGAAUGUAUUAUCCGCUCCUAACUGGACCGUGAACCUCAGCUCGUUUCACAUAGAUAUCAGUUAAAAAAGGACUGGCGAGUGGAAUUACAAAACAAGGCAUGAUCACUUUCAUUGUAUGAUACGCUGAAACAAGUCGGGGGCUUUCCCUCCCCUUCGCCGCCCCGGACCAAUUUUGGUAUCAUUUGGAAAGUUUAAGACCUCUGAGGACUUGAAAGACUUUUAAAAGUGAGAUCCGGAAGGUUUUUAUUCUGCAGCUUGGUGGUGGCCAUUGUGUAUAUCAUGUGGCUUGUAUUUAAAGGUGUUUGGGCUCGGGGUUUAUCCAUUUUGUUUUGUCUAAACUCUUAAUUUUUUUUAACCGUCUAUUAGAGGUUUGCCAGCGGUUGCCAGUGAAAUGUAACAUGCAGCUUUUGGUUAAUGGCAAUAGGGAAGUCUAACCACUUUACUUAUAGUACUGAUUUUCCAAUUAGACUUUCUGCCAGGGGAAGUUGGAGGGGGAAGGGGUAUUUGCAUGCACAUAAACUGUUGAUUAUUCAUGUGACUUUUUUUUUUCUAGCUUGUUAAACCCUUGUAAAUAAGGCUAUUGAUUCUUUGUUAUCAUUUUCAAAGCGAAGUUUUCAAGUACCUGUUUUAACCACAAGAUUUAGAGCAUGCUGUGAUUUAUUUUUUGUCUUAUUCUAAGCCAUGUGUGUAUUUUAUUACCACUCCUCUUUUAUUGUCUAUCGGCUGCUUUUAUGAUGAGGUAUGUCCGUAGUUUACUAUUUCAUAAGUAUCCUCAAAUGUUACUUAGCAGUUAUUUACACCCUGUAGAAAGUGUCCGAGGAAGUUUCAUUUCAGUCACAUCUAUUUCACACAUGUUUUAGUACUGUGAAUAUAAUAUGUAAUAAUGCUGGAAACAUUUAGUAAUGCACUUGCCUAAAAAUAAACAGUUUUAUAACCACA